UACGGAGGGUGCAAGCGUUAUCCGGAUUUACUGGGUUUAAAGGGUGCGUAGGUGGGUUGGUAAGUCAGUGGUGAAAUACUUUCGCUUAACGAAGGAACUGCCAUUGAUACUACCAGUCUUGAGUACAGUGGAGGUAGGCGGAAUGCGUCAUGUAGCGGUGAAAUGCUUAGAUAUGACGCAGAACACCAAUUGCGAAGGCAGCUUGCUACACUGUUAUUGACACUGAGGCACGAAAGCGUGGGGAUCAAACAGG
rnacentral:rRNA from 1 species